rnacentral:rRNA from 1 species
GAUGAACGCUGGCGGCGUGCCUAAUACAUGCAAGUCGAGCGAACAGAUGAGGAGCUUGCUCCUCUGACGUUAGCGGCGGACGGGUGAGUAACACGUGGAUAACCUACCUAUAAGACUGGGAUAACUUCGGGAAACCGGAGCUAAUACCGGAUAAUAUAUUGAACCGCAUGGUUCAAUAGUGAAAGACGGUUUUGCUGUCACUUAUAGAUGGAUCCGCGCCGCAUUAGCUAGUUGGUAAGGUAACGGCUUACCAAGGCAACGAUGCGUAGCCGACCUGAGAGGGUGAUCGGCCACACUGGAACUGAGACACGGUCCAGACUCCUACGGGAGGCAGCAGUAGGGAAUCUUCCGCAAUGGGCGAAAGCCUGACGGAGCAACGCCGCGUGAGUGAUGAAGGUCAUCGGAUCGUAAAACUCUGUUAUUAGGGAAGAACAAAUGUGUAAGUAACUAUGCACGUCUUGACGGUACCUAAUCAGAAAGCCACGGCUAACUACGU